GAUUCUUUAUGUAUUAGUCUAUGUAUUAAUCUGUCUUGGGUUAGAGAUUCUUUAUGUAUUAAUCUAUGUAUUAAUCUAGAUUCUUUAUGUAUUAAUCUGUCUUGGGUUAGAGAUUCUUUAUGUAUUAAUCUGUCUUGGUUAGAGACUGUCUUGGAUUAGAUUCUUUAUGUAUUCAUCGGUCUUGGGUUAGAGAUCCUUUAUGUAUUAUUCUGUCUUGGGUUAGAUUCUUUAUGUAUUAAUCUGUCUUGGGUUAGAGAUCCUUUAUGUAUUAAUCUGUCUUGGGUUAGAGAUUCUUUAUGUAUUAAUCUGUCUUGGGUUAGAGAUUCUUUAUGUAUUAGUCUAUGUAUUAAUCUGUCUUGGGUUAGAGAUUAUUUGUAUUAAUCUGUCUUGGGUUAGAGAUUCUUUGUAUUAAUCUGUCUUGGGUUAGAGAUUCUUUAUGUAUUAAUCUGUCUUGGUUAGAGAUUCUUUAUGUAUUAGUCUAUGUAUUAAUCUGUCUUGGGUUAGAGAUUCUUUAUGUAUUAAUCUGUCUUGUUUAGAGAUUCUUUAUGUAUUAAUCUGUCUUGGGUUAGAGAUUCUUUAUGUAUUAAUCUGUCUUGGUUAGAGACUGUCUUGGAUUAGAUUCUUUAUGUAUUAAUCUGUCUUGGGUUAGAGAUUCUUUAUGUAUUAAUCUGUCUUGGGUUAGAGAUUCUUUAUGUAUUAGUCUAUGUAUUAAUCUGUCUUGGUUAGAGAUUCUUUAUGUAUUAAUCUGUCAUGGUUAGAGAUUCUUUAUGUAUUAAUCUGUCUUGGGUUAGAGAUCCUUUAUGUAUUAUUCUGUCUUGGGUUAGAGAUUCUUUGUAUUAAUCUGUCUUGGGUUAGAGAUUCUUUAUGUAUUAAUCUGUCUUGGGUUAGAGAUUCUUUAUGUAUUAAUCUGUCUUGGUUAGAGAUUCUUUAUGUAUUAGUCUAUGUAUUAAUCUGUCUUGGGUUAGAGAUCCUUUAUGUAUUAAUCUGUCUUGGGUUAGAGAUUCUUUAUGUAUUAAUCUGUCUUGGGUUAGAGAUUCUUUAUGUAUUAAUCUGUCUUGGGUUAGAGAUUCUUUAUGUAUUAAUCUGUCUUGGGUUAGAGAUUCUUUGUAUUAAUCUGUCUUGGGUUAGAGAUUCUUUAUGUAUUAGUCUAUGUAUUAAUCUGUCUUGGGUUAGAGAUUCUUUAUGUAUUAAUCUGUCUUGGGUUAGAGAUCCUUUAUGUAUUAGUCUAUGUAUUAAUCUGUCUUGGGUUAGAGAUCCUUUAUGUAUUAAUCUGUCUUGGGUUAGAGAUUCUUUGUAUUAAUCUGUCUUGGAUUAGAUUCUUUAUGUAUUAAUCUGUCUUGGGUUAGAGAUUAUUUAUGUAUUAAUCUGUCUUGGGUUAGAGAUCCUUUAUGUAUUAAUCUGUCUUGGGUUAGAGAUCCUUUAUGUAUUAAUCUGUCUUGGGUUAGAGAUCCUUUAUGUAUUAAUCUGUCUUGGGUUAGAGAUCCUUUAUGUAUUAUUCUGUCUUGGAUUAGAUCCUUUAUGUAUUAAUCUGUCUUGGGUUAGAGAUCCUUUAUGUAUUAAUCUGUCUUGGGUUAGAGAUCCUUUAUGUAUUAAUCUGUCUUGGGUUUGUACAGUUAUAUUGCUGAAUGGUGAUCUUAAUAACUUUUCCCUCCUAACACUUUGUUCUGUGUGUCUGGAGCUCCUGGUCAUGAAUAUGUAUGGCUGAUUUAUUAACAGUGGGCAGCCUCCCAAAUCACACCCUAUGCCCUUUACAGUGAACUGCGUUUAACCAGACUAGUGCACUAUAUAGGGAACAGGGUGCCGUUUUAGGGACGCUGCCGGUGUGAUUUUAAAGGAUGUUUUUUGACUGGGCUGUGUUCUACACUGUUUUGAUUGGAGCGGUUUAAAGGUUUAAGUCAAUUCCUUCCUAGUCAUUUCUAGAAACCUGUUUGCGUUCCAGGCCGACUACGUUACAGAUGCAUUGCAUCCACCCAUUGUUCUGCACCACGUCAUUGAGUGACACAAUCGGGCAUCAGAUUGCUAUAUAAUAGGAUGUGGUUAGGUGUUUAACAUAACAGCUAUCUAGGCAGGCAUCUGCAGUGUAGUCAUCCUGGAACGUGUCCGUUGUGUUACUUCCUGUUACUAGUGAGUGUUAUGUUGCAUGUUCUUUUCUGAACCGGUGUCUGGCUCGUAGGACUGUAGUUUUAACUGAACCGGUGUCUGGCUCGUAGGACUGUAGUUUUAACUGAACCGGUGUCUGGCUCGUAGGACUGUAGUUUUAACUGAACCGGUGUCUGGCUCGUAGGACUGUAGUUUUAACUGAACCGGUGUCUGGCUCGUAGGACUGUAGUUUUAACUGAACCGGGGUCUGGCUCGUAGGACUGUAGUUUUAACUGAACCGGUGUCUGUAGUUUAGUGAUUCUCUGCAUGCAUGUGUUUUAUUAAUCGUCUACAAUCAGAGCAGCAACGUGCUAAGGGAACCCUAUCUCCUACAUAGUGCACCACUUUAGACCAGGGCCCUCUGGGCUUCCUCACCUGGGCUUCCCCACCUGGGCUUCCCUACCUGGGCUUCCUCACCUGGGCUUCCCCACCUGGGCUUCCUCACCUGGGCUUCCCUACCUGGGCUUCCUCACCUGGGCUUCCCUACCUGGGCUUCCUCACCUGGGCUUCCUCACCUGGGCUUCCCCACCUGGGCUUCCUCACCUGGGCUUCCUCACCUGGGCUUCCCCACCUGGGCUUCCCCAUCCGGGCUUCCCCAUCCGGGCUUCCCCAUCCGGGCUUCCUCACCUGGGCUUCCCCACCUGGGCUUCCCCAUCCGGGCUUCCUCACCUGGGCUUCCUCACCUGGGCUUCCCCACCUGGGCUUCCCCACCUGGGCCUCCCCACCUGGGCUUCCCCACCUGGGCUUCCCCACCUGGGCCUCCCCACCUGGGCUUCCCCACCGGGCUUCCCCACCUGGGCUUCCCAAUUUUCCCUGGUCUAAAUUAGUGCAGUAUGAAGGGAAUAGGGAAUGUGAUGUUAACUUUUGUGUUUUUCUACUGGCUGUACAAUUUUAUAUUCUUUCCCAUUCUGGACCUAUUUUAAUGAAGAGGUCUCUAUCAGAGAAACUGUUGUAUCCCCUAUGCCAUCCUGUUCCCUAUAUAGUACACUACUUUUGGCCCAGUCAGGCUAGGGACAAUAAUCCAACUCAAAUGUGACACUAAACAGUGGUUUGUAAUGACAUUGGGGAGUUGAGAGAGAGCUGGAGAUCAGCCACAUGUCUGUCACUCUGGCGUGUGUCUAGUGUGACACCAGAUGUGCCUGUAAAUACAUUGUGAAGAGAUUUGUUUUUAUGGGGAAUAAUAAAGUUUUUAAUUGUAACAGGA
ensembl:lncRNA